UGAGUGCCUAUGGUGGUUAUAAAUAUACUUUGAGCAAUUACUGUGAAAAGACAUCAAUCUGAGGCUCACUUU